AAUGAACGCUGGCGGCAUGCUUUACACAUGCAAGUCGAACGGAAACACGCCUUCGUUUGCUGACGAGUGGCGGACGGGCGCGUAAUUCACCCGAACGUACCCAGACCUUGGCGAUAAGGCAGCGAAAGCUGAGCUAAUAUCGCAUGUGAUCUGAGGUUGAGAGCGGGGGUCCGAGCAGCAAUGUUUCGCCUCGCGCGUUUGGAGUGGCUGAUGUCGGAUUAGCUAGUUGGGGGGGUAAAGGCCUAGCAAGGCGAGGAUCCGUAGCCGGUCUGAGAGGGCGGCCGGCGGCACUGGAAGUGAGACACGGCCAAGAGUCCUACGGGAGGGAGCAGUGGGGAAUUUUGGGCAAUGGGCGGAAGCCUGACCCAGCAAUGCCGCGUGCGGGACGAAGGCCUUCGGGUUGUAAAGCGCUUUUGGCAGGAACGAACCGGUGUCCGCUGAUACCGGGCGUUAAUGACGGUACCUGGUGAAUAAGCACCGGCUAACUACGUG
rnacentral:rRNA from 1 species